GGGCUUAACACAUGCAAGUCGAGGGGCAGCAUGGUCUUUUCUUGCUAAGGCCGAUGGCGACCGGCGCACGGGUGAGUAACGCGUAUCCAACCUGCCUUACACUCUUGGACAGCCUUCUGAAAGGGAGAUUAAUACGAGAUGUUAUCAUGAGUAAGCAUUUUCGCAUGAUUAAAGGUUUACCGGUGUAAGAUGGGGAUGCGUUCCAUUAGAUAGUAGGCGGGGUAACGGCCCACCUAGUCUUCGAUGGAUAGGGGUACUGAGAGGAAGGUCCCCCACAUUGAAACUGAGACACGGUCCAAACUCCUACGGGAGGCAACAAUGAGGAAUAUUGGUCAAUGGACGAAAGUCUGAACCAGCCAAGUAGCGUGAAGGAUGAAGGUUCUAUGGAUUGCAAACUUCUUUUAUACGGGAAUGAACGGAUCCACGUGUGGAUUUUUGCAUGUACCAAAUAAAUAAUGAUCCCCUAACUCCGUGCCAGCAACCGCGGUAAAACGGAGGAUCCGAGCGAUAUCCGGAUUUAUUGGGAUUAAAGGGAGAGUAUAUGGUUUGUUAAGUACAGUUGUGAAAGUUUGCGGCUCAACCGUAAAAUUGCAAUUGAUACUGGCAGUCUUGAGUACAGUUGAGGUAGGCGGAAUUCGUGGUGUAGCGGUGAAAUGCUUAGAUAUCACGAAGAACUCCGAUUGCGAAGGCAGCUUACUAACCUGUAACUGACAUUGAUGCUCGAAAGUGUGGGUAUCAAACAGGAUUAGAUACCCUGGUAGUCCACACGGUAAACGAUGAAUACUCGCUGUAGGCGAUAUACAGUCUGCGGCCAAGCGAAAGCAUUAAGUAUUCCACCUGGGGAGUACGCCGGCAACGGUGAAACUCAAAGGAAUUGACGGGGGCCCGCACAAGCGGAGGAACAUGUGGUUUAAUUCGAUGAUACGCGAGGAACCUUACCCGGGCUUAAAUUGCUACCGAAUAUGGCGGAAACGCUAUAGCUAGCAAUAGCGGUUGUGAAGGUGCUGCAUGGUUGUCGUCAGCUCGUGCCGUGAGGUGUCGGCUUAAGUGCCAUAACGAGCGCAACCCUUGCCGAUAGUUACUAACAGGUUAUGCUGAGGACUCUGUCGGGACUGCCAUCGUAAGAUGUGAGGAAGGUGGGGAUGACGUCAAAUCAGCACGGCCCUUACGUCCGGGGCUACACACGUGUUACAAUGGGGGGUACAGAGGGCUGCUACCACGCAAGUGGAUGCCAAUCCCAAAAACCUCUCUCAGUUCGGAUUGAAGUCUGCAACCCGACUUCAUGAAGCUGGAUUCGCUAGUAAUCGCGCAUCAGCCACGGCGCGGUGAAUACGUUCCCGGGCCUUGUACACACCGCCCGUCAAGCCAUGGGAGCCGGGGGUACCUGAAGUGCGUAACCGCAAGGAGCGCCCUAGGGUAAAACUGGUGACUGGGGC
rnacentral:rRNA from 1 species